rnacentral:rRNA from 1 species
UACAGAGGUGGCAAGCGUUGUUCGGAAUUACUGGGCGUAAAGGGCGCGUAGGCGGCCAUCUAAGUCAGACGUGAAAUCCCCCGGCUUAACCGGGGAACGGCGUCCGAUACUGGAUGGCUUGAAUCCGAGAGAGGGAUGCGGAAUUCCAGGUGUAGCGGUGAAAUGCGUAGAUAUCUGGAGGGACACCGGUGGCGAAGGCGGCAUCCUGGAUUGGUAUUGACGCUGAGGAGCGAAAGCUAGGGGAGCAAACGGG